rnacentral:rRNA from 1 species
AGCGAACGCUGGCGGCAGGCCUAACACAUGCAAGUCGAACGAACCCUUCGGGGUUAGUGGCGGACGGGUGAGUAACACGUGGGAACGUGCCUUUAGGUUCGGAAUAACUCAGGGAAACUUGUGCUAAUACCGAAUGUGCCCUUCGGGGGAAAGAUUUAUCGCCUUUAGAGCGGCCCGCGUCUUAUUAGCUAGUUGGUGAGGUAAUGGCUCACCAAGGCUACGAUCAGUAGCUGGUCUGAGAGGAUGACCAGCCACAUUGGGACUGAGACACGGCCCAACUCCUACGGGAGGCAGCAGUGGGGAAUCUUGCGCAAUGGGCGAAAGCCUGACGCAGCCAUGCCGCGUGGAUGAUGAAGGUCUUAGGAUUGUAAAAUCCUUUCACCGGUGAAGAUAAUGACUGUAGCCGGAGAAGAAGCCCCGGCUAACUUCGUGCCAGCCGCCGCCGUAAGAC